CCUACGGGGGGCAGCAGUGAGGAAUAUUGGUCAAUGGACGAGAGUCUGAACCAGCCAAGUAGCGUGAAGGAUGACUGCCCUAUGGGUUGUAAACUUCUUUUAUAAAGGAAUAAAACGAGGCACGUGUGCCUUUUUGCAUGUACUUUAUGAAUAAGGAUCGGCUAACUCCGUGCCAGCAGCCGCGGUAAUACGGAGGAUCCGAGCGUUAUCCGGAUUUAUUGGGUUUAAAGGGAGCGUAGAUGGGUUGUUAAGUCAGUUGUGAAAGGUUGCGGCUCAACCGUAAAAUUGCAAUUGAUACUGGCAGUCUUGAGUACAGUUGAGGUAGGCGGAAUUCGUGGUGUAGCGGUGAAAUGCUUAGAUAUCACGAAGAACCCCGAUUGCGAAGGCAGCUUACUAAACUGUGACUGACAUUGAUGCUCGAAAGUGUGGGUAUCAAACAGGAUUAGAUACCCCAGUAGUC
rnacentral:rRNA from 1 species